rnacentral:rRNA from 1 species
GCACCGAGGUUCGACCCCCGACACCUANCACUCAUCGUUUACSGCGUGGACUACCAGGGUAUCUAAUCCUGUUCGCUCCCCACGCUUUCGUGCCUCAGCGUCAGUYACAGUCCAGAGAKUCGCCUUCGCCACUGGUGUUCCUCCUAAUAUCUACGCAUUUCACCGCUACACUAGGAAUUCCACUCUCCUCUCCUGCACUCAAGUUAUGCAGUUUUAAAGGCUUACUACGGUUGAGCCGUAGCCUUUCACCCCUAACUUGCAUAACCGCCUACGCACCCUUUACGCCCAAUGAUUCCGGAUAACGCUCGCCCCCUACGUAUUACCGCGGCUGCUGGCACGUAUUAGCCGGGGCUUCCUCCUAAGGUACCGUCAUUAUUCUUCCCUUAGGACAGAGCUUUACGACCCGAAGCCUUCAUCGCUCACGCGGCGUUGCUGCAUCAGGCUUUCGCCCAUUGUGCAAUAUUCCCCACUGCUGCCUCCCGUAGAGUCUGGACCGUGUCUCAGUUCCAGUGUGGCCGAUCACCCUCUCAGGUCGGCUACUGAUCGUCGCCUUGGUAAGCAUUACCUUACCAACUAGCUAAUCAGACGCGGG